CAGAGGGUGCAAACGUUGCUCGGAAUUAUUGGGCGUAAAGCGCGUGUAGGCGGCUUGUUAAGUCGGUUGUGAAAACCCAUGGCUCAACCAUGGAAGUGCGUCCGAAACUGGCAAGCUAGAGUCUUGACGAGGAUGGCGGAAUUCCCAGUGUAGAGGUGAAAUUCGUAGAUAUUGGGAGGAACACCGGUGGCGAAGGCGGCCAUCUGGGAAGGUACUGACGCUGAGACGCGAAAGCGUGGGGAGCAAACAGGAUUAGAUACCCUGGUAGUCCACGCCGUAAACGAUGAGCACUAGGUGUUGCGGGUAUUGACCCCUGCAGUGCCGACGCUAACGCAUUAAGUGCUCCGCCUGGGGAGUACGGCCGCAAGGCUA
rnacentral:rRNA from 1 species